CUGGAUCCUGUUCCCUCACUCUGGGGUGCAGGACUUUGGAGAGUUCUGCAGAUCCACCAGGUCCCAAUGGGGCUUUUUCCCCGGCAGACUUGCUGUCCUAAUAAGACUAAUGCUCCUUGUGCCUGGAGGCAUCUUGUGAUAAGAUGGAGUCACCAGGCAUGGUUUGGGCAACAGGGCCCAGGAGGACAGCUACACCUAGAUUUUCCCCACAGCCACAUUCCACCCUUUCCAGCAGCUGGGGCUGGGAUUUAGGAUCAACAUAUCCACCUGGCAACAUGGACUAACCCAGACCGCUGAGGGCUGGGAGCUGCCUGGCUGAAGCUUUUUGUACUAGGCAGUGGCUCGCCUCCAUGAGAGCCGCGGGCAGCAGGGCCCAGCCCUGCCCCGAGGCUGUCCCUUCAGCGCGCGGCAUGCCAGCAGCAGUCCCCUUUCACAGACGGGCAAGCUGAGGCGGCUGCGGCACUUGCCCAAAGUUCCUGAGCGACUCAGUGGCAAAGCGGAGCCAUUGCGAGCCCAGUCCACCAGCCCUGCGCCUGGCCGGCCCCAGCAGCCCUCCUCCCCGGGCGGGGCAGGAAAGGGUUAAACUCCCCUCCUCCCCCCGGUGUACGGCUUCCCCCAGGUGCCCCAGAGCAGUUUCCACUGCAAGAGUUAGAGGGUGGCAGCCCAAUUACCGGGCAGGCAAAGGUGAGAACCAUUUUGCCCUCAGCAGGCUAUAUGCAGCCAUGAAUGUCAAGAGGGUAUGUUGCACCCUGGAUACUGGGGUUAUCCCCUGGGCUUUUGGGGGGGGGGGAAGUGCCGUGAGAGUGUUGUUUAACAGGAAACUUUUCUUCUUCAAAGGAUGAAAUUCCUGGAUGCAGCUCUGCCGUUAAUCACUAGCCUCUUUCCAGUUAACGCCUGAUUUCAGAUUCCCCUUUUUCUCAGAAGCCCUUCUCUUCAGGCUGGGUCUCUCGCCAAGUGACUGGUAUGUCCCUGACAGGGGAGCCAAAAAUUAAUAAUGAA
rnacentral:lncRNA from 1 species